CAGUAGCCGCGGUAAUACAGAGGGUGCAAGCGUUAAUCGGAAUUACUGGGCGUAAAGCGCGCGUAGGUGGUUUGUUAAGUUGGAUGUGAAAGCCCCUGGCUCAACCUGGGAACUGCAUCCAAAACUGGCAAGCUAGAGUACGGUAGAGGGUGGUGGAAUUUCCUGUGUAGCGGUGAAAUGCGUAGAUAUAGGAAGGAACACCAGUGGCGAAGGCGACCACCUGGACUGAUACUGACACUGAGGUGCGAAAGCGUGGGGAGCAAACAGGAUUAGAGACCCCCGUAGUCCCUGUCUCUUAUAC
rnacentral:rRNA from 1 species